GACGAACGCUGGCGGCGUGCUUAACACAUGCAAGUCGAACGGAAAGGCCCUUCGGGGUACUCGAGUGGCGAACGGGUGAGUAACACGUGGGUGAUCUGCCCUGCACUUUGGGAUAAGCCUGUGAAACUGGGUCUAAUACCGAAUAGGACCACGCGCUUCAUGGUGUGUGGUGGCAAGCUUUUGCGGUGUGGGAUGGGCCCGCGGCCUAUCAGCUUGUUGGUGGGGUAAUGGCCUACCAAGGCGACGACGGGUAGCCGGCCUGAGAGGGUGACCGGCCACACUGGGACUGAGAUACGGCCCAGACUCCUACGGGAGGCAGCAGUGGGGAAUAUUGCACAAUGGGCGCAAGCCUGAUGCAGCGACGCCGCGUGAGGGAUGACGGCCUUCGGGUUGUAAACCUCUUUCACCAGGGACGAAGCGUAAGUGACGGUACCUGGAGAAGAAGCACCGGCCAACUACGUG
rnacentral:rRNA from 1 species